GGGGGGGAUUUAUUCAUUUCUGGGUCUGAGCAAAUUGCUUAGAAGAUGCCUGCAUUUGCUAUGCAGUGAUGUGAAUUCAGCGGCGGCUAGGAGGGCUCCAUACAAUUACAAUGGGAGUUAGAAACGUUCGUCAAACUAAGCAACAAUUGUUUUCCAUACUUAUAGUCGCCACAUUUCCCACAGUUCAAUGAAGAUUUAGUACGUAGCUGUGAAUUGUGGCAUGUGAAUUGUGAAAAUGAAUGUAGAGAAUGAAGUUAGGACACGGAAAAGUUUAAAAUAGAGAAACACAACGCAAAGAAAACUUCGAAACAAGGGCAAAGUUAAAGUCUCACUGCGUACAGAAAGUAAUGAUAUUGAUGGCUAUCAGAAAUACGACUAUGCUACUAAUGACUAUGUAGAUGACUAUGAUGACUUCAUGUAAAUAUGUACUGUUGAGAUGCGCAUACCAUAUGGCAU